CCUGGGGAGUACGGCCGCAAGGUUAAAACUCAAAUGAAUUGACGGGGGCCCGCACAAGCGGUGGAGCAUGUGGUUUAAUUCGAUGCAACGCGAAGAACCUUACCUGGUCUUGACAUCCACAGAACUUAGCAGAGAUGCUUUGGUGCCUUCGGGAACUGUGAGACAGGUGCUGCAUGGCUGUCGUCAGCUCGUGUUGUGAAAUGUUGGGUUAAGUCCCGCAACGAGCGCAACCCUUAUCCUUUGUUGCCAGCGGUUCGGCCGGGAACUCAAAGGAGACUGCCAGUGAUAAACUGGAGGAAGGUGGGGAUGACGUCAAGUCAUCAUGGCCCUUACGACCAGGGCUACACACGUGCUACAAUGGCAUAUACAAAGAGAAGCGACCUCGCGAGAGCAAGCGGACCUCAUAAAGUAUGUCGUAGUCCGGAUUGGAGUCUGCAACUCGACUCCAUGAAGUCGGAAUCGCUAGUAAUCGUAGAUCAGAAUGCUACGGUGAAUACGUUCCCGGGCCUUGUACACACCGCCCGUCACACCAUGGGAGUGGGUUGCAAAAGAAGUAGGUAGCUUAACCUUCGGGAGGGCGCUUACCACUUUGUGAUUCAUGACUGGGGUGAAGUCGUAACAAGGUAACCGUAGGGGAACCUGCGGUUGGAUCACCUCCUUA
rnacentral:rRNA from 5 species